rnacentral:rRNA from 1 species
UGAGUACGAGAGGCUACGGCCUCGAAGCAGUGUAUGUCAUACUUCCAAGAAAAGCUUGCAAUGUCAUAAACAAAUAAUGCCUGUACCAUAACCGACACAGGUGGGUAGGUAGAGUAUACUAAGGGGCGCGAGAUAACUCUCUCUAAGGAACUCGGCAAAAUGACUCCGUAACUUCGGGAGAAGGAGUGCCUUAUUUAUAAGGUUGCAAUAACAAGACCCAAGCAACUGUUUAUCAAAAACACAGGUCUCCGCUAAGUCGUAAGACGAUGUAUGGGGGCUGACGCCUGCCCAGUGCCAGAAGGUUAAAGAAGUUGGUUAGCAUUCGCGAAGCUGAUAACUGAAGCCCUGGUGAACGGCGGCCGUAACGAUAACGGUCCUAAGGUAGCGAAAUUCCUUGUCGGGUAAGUUCCGACCCGCACGAAAGGCGUAAUGAUUUGGAUACUGUCUCGGAGAGGGGCUCGGUGAAAUAGACUUGUCUGUGAAGAUGCGGACUACCUGCACCUGGACAGAAAGACCCUAUGAAGCUUUACUGUAACUUGAAAUUGAAAUUGGACUUUAUUUGCGCAGUAUAGGUGGGAGGCGUUGAUAGUAUUCUUGUGGGAAUAUUGGAGCCAUCAGUGAGAUACCACUCUUGUAAUGUUAGAUUUCUAACUUUGUAUCAUUAUCUGGUCAAAGAACAGUUUCAGGCGGGCAGUUUGACUGGGGCGGUCGCCUCCCAAACGGUAACGGAGGCGUACAAAGGUUUCCUCUGAACGGGUAGAAAUCGUAUCUAGAGUACAAAGGCAUAAGGAAGCUUGACUGUGAGACCUACAAGUCGAGCAGGGACGAAAGUCGGUCUUAGUGAUCUGACGGUGCUGAGUGGAAAGGCCGUCACUCAACGGAUAAAAGUUACUCUAAGGAUAACAGGCUGAUCUCCCCCAAGAGUUCACAUCGACGGGGAGGUUUGGCACCUCGAUGUCGGCUCAUCGCAUCCUGGGGCGGUAGUACGUCCCAAGGGUUGGGCUGUUCGCCCAUGAAAGCGGUACGCGAGCUGGGUUCAGAACGUCGUGAGACAGUUCGGUCCAUAUCCGGUGUAGGCGUUAGAAUAUUGAGAGGAGCCUUCUUUAGUACGAGAGGACCGAGAAGGACAUACCUCUGGUGUACCAGUUAUCGUGCCAACGGUAAACGCUGGGUAGCUAUGUAUGGAGAGGAUAACCGCUGAAAGCAUCUAAGUGGGAAGCCCACCUCAAGAUAAGUAUUCUCA